AGGCUUUGAAGUGUGGACGCCAGUCUGCAUGGAGCCGACCUUGAAAUACCACCCUUUAAUGUUUGAUGUUCUAACGUGGACCCGUAAUCCGGGUUGCGGACAGUGUCUGGUGGGUAGUUUGACUGGGGCGGUCUCCUCCUAAAGAGUAACGGAGGAGCACGAAGGUUGGCUAAUCCUGGUCGGACAUCAGGAGGUUAGUGCAAUGGCAUAAGCCAGCUUGACUGCGAGCGUGACGGCGCGAGCAGGUGCGAAAGCAGGUCAUAGUGAUCCGGUGGUUCUGAAUGGAAGGGCCAUCGCUCAACGGAUAAAAGGUACUCCGGGGAUAACAGGCUGAUACCGCCCAAGAGUUCAUAUCGACGGCGGUGUUUGGCACCUCGAUGUCGGCUCAUCACAUCCUGGGGCUGAAGUAGGUCCCAAGGGUAUGGCUGUUCGCCAUUUAAAGUGGUACGCGAGCUGGGUUUAGAACGUCGUGAGACAGUUCGGUCCCUAUCUGCCGUGGGCGCUGGAGAACUGAGGGGGGCUGCUCCUAGUACGAGAGGACCGGAGUGGACGCAUCACUGGUGUUCGGGUUGUCAUGCCAAUGGCACUGCCCGGUAGCUAAAUGCGGAAGAGAUAAGUGCUGAAAGCAUCUAAGCACGAAACUUGCCCCGAGAUGAGUUCUCCCUGAGACUUAGAGUCUCCUGAAGGAACGUUGAAGACGACGACGUUGAUAGGCCGGGUGUGUAAGCGCAGCGAUGCGUUGAGCUAACCGGUACUAAUGAACCGUGAGG
rnacentral:rRNA from 1 species